CACGCCCUAAACGAUGUCGACUAGUUGUUGGACGGGUUACUGUUCAGUAACGAAGCUAACGCGUGAAGUCGACCGCCUGGGGAGUACGGCCGCAAGGUUAAAACUCAAAGGAAUUGACGGGGACCCGCACAAGCGGUGGAUGAUGUGGUUUAAUUCGAUGCAACGCGAAAAACCUUACCUACCCUUGACAUGCCAGGAACUUACCAGAGAUGGUUUGGUGCUCGAAAGAGAGCCUGGACACAGGUGC
rnacentral:rRNA from 1 species